GACAGAGGGUGCAAGCGUUGUUCGGAAUUACUGGGCGUAAAGCGCGUGUAGGCGGCUAUGUAAGUCGGGCGUGAAAUCCCACGGCUCAACCGUGGAAGUGCACCCGAAACUGCGUAGCUAGAGUCCUGGAGAGGAAGGUGGAAUGCUUGGUGUAGAGGUGAAAUUCGUAGAUAUCAAGCGGAACACCGGUGGCGAAGGCGGCCUUCUGGACAGUGACUGACGCUGAGACGCGAAAGCGUGGGGAGCGAACAGG
rnacentral:rRNA from 1 species